GUGAGGAAUUUUGGACAAUGGGGGCAACCCUGAUCCAGCCAUGCCGCGUGCGGGAAGAAGGCCUUCGGGUUGUAAACCGCUUUUGUCAGGGAAGAAAUCCUUUGGGUUAAUACCUCGGAGGGAUGACGGUACCUGAAGAAUAAGCACCGGCUAACUACGUGCCAGCAGCCGCGGUAAUACGUAGGGUGCGAGCGUUAAUCGGAAUUACUGGGCGUAAAGCGUGCGCAGGCGGUUUUGUAAGAUCGAUGUGAAAUCCCCGGGCUCAACCUGGGAACUGCAUUGGUGACUGCAAGGCUGGAGUGCGGCAGAGGGGGAUGGAAUUCCGCGUGUAGCAGUGAAAUGCGUAGAUAUGCGGAGGAACACCGAUGGCGAAGGCAAUCCCCUGGGCCUGCACUGACGCUCAUGCACGAAAGCGUGGGGAGCAAACAGGAUUAGAUACCCGAGUAGUCC
rnacentral:rRNA from 1 species